rnacentral:rRNA from 1 species
UACGGGGGGGGCAAGCGUUGUUCGGAAUUACUGGGCGUAAAGGGCUCGUAGGCGGCCAACUAAGUCAGACGUGAAAUCCCUCGGCUUAACCGGGGAACUGCGUCUGAUACUGGAUGGCUUGAGUUUGGGAGAGGGAUGCGGAAUUCCAGGUGUAGCGGUGAAAUGCGUAGAUAUCGUAAGGAAGACCAGUGGCGAAGGCGGGUCUCUGGACAGUUCCUGACGCUGAGGCACGAAGGCCAGGGGAGCAAACGGG